rnacentral:lncRNA from 1 species
UGGCAAUCUAUAGCACAGACAGGAGAGCCAAGCACAGAUGGCUAACCCAAUCAGAGUCCACAACUCUGACAGCAGGACCAAUCACAGAGAGAUUGAGCAGGGCCAGUCAGAAGACAAAUUAUAACUCGCAACAGACUGAGCAGACCCAGUAAGGUCGAAAUAAGAGUUCCAUACCACGGCCUGGGCUGCAAUCUGCCAGACUCAUCCCAGUGCAGGUCGUUGGAGCAGCAGCUCCUCAUUUAUCUAAUUUAAUUAAUGGACAGUUAGAUAAUUCAAGAGCUUAACAGCACCACAAUCCUGCAACGGGGUCGUCUGUAAGGCCUGUGAAAAUCCCUGCACGACAGGCCUUUUGGGGCCAGAAAAAAACACUUGCUAGUCCAGUAUAAACACAGGGAGUUCUGCCUUUUCCUGCAAAAGAAAAGCUUACAGUGCUCACGCAUUUGUGUUCCAGCUCAAAGUACCAAAACAGCAGCAGAGACGGUGUGAUGUUGCCAAUUUUCUCUCUGUUGGUGCAGCCACUUCCCCAUGCAAUUUCCUCAGUGAAGCACCGAAGGACAUCGCCUGUGACCACUGCAGACACUGAGUCAAGGCCAGCGGCUGGGGGCUCGCCGGCCACUGCUGUCCAGCCCCAGGGAAGCAGCAGCAUGGCAGGAAGACUGAACAAGGCACAGCAACAAGAACAGAACGCCCACAUACGAUUCUGAACAGCGGAACUGACCUCUGUGGUUCAGAGCUCUCCUUUUUCCAAGACAUUUGUAAUCUGGGAUAUCAGGUUUUAGAGGGCUGCUUUCCACACCCAGCCCCUGGGUCUGCUCCUGUGCACAGGAGGUCCUGAGCUUUCUAAACUCAAGCAGCAUUUGAAAUUGCAUGAUGCUUCGGGGCUUCAGGGUCCCAUUAUGCAGACUGGGCUGCAACCUUGAGGACAGCUGUUCACACUGUAGUCACUGGUUUACAGGAAGUACACUGCGUAACACAACACAGAAUCAGCAUGAUGAUUACCAACAAGUGACAUCUACAGUACUGCAGCCUUUCGUGAGAAACCAGGCACUGGUGGAGUCAGAGUCUGCCGUCGGAUCAGCCUUGGAGAAUUCCUCAGAAAUUCACUCAUUAACACCUCCAGAGCCUAGAGCCAGAUCACUAAACGUGUCCUGGUGGACUGCAGGCCUGUGGGCGAAACCCUGGAGGAGACCUGUGGACAGUGCAGGGCCCAGCCCAGCUGACGGAGCUGUUACUGCGGAAAUAAAGCAGGACCAGCUCGUUAAUUCCGCAGAGUGCACCUGCCCAGAGGAGUAUUCACAGGCGUCUUUUGUCCAUAUUCAAGGUCUCUUUACAGGUCCAAAAAGCUUUUAA